GAUGAACGCUGGUGGCGUGCCUAACACAUGCAAGUCGAGCGAUUCUCUUCGGAGAAGAGCGGCGGACGGGUGAGUAACGCGUGGGUAACCUGCCCUGUACACACGGAUAACAUACCGAAAGGUAUGCUAAUACGAGAUAACAUGCUUUUAUCGCAUGGUAGAAGUAUCAAAGCUUUUGCGGUACAGGAUGGACCCUCGUCUGAUUAGCUAGUUGGUGAGGUAACGGCUCACCAAGGCGACGAUCAGUAGCCGACCUGAGAGGGUGAUCGGCCACAUUGGAACUGAGACACGGUCCAAACUCCUACGGGAGGCAGCAGUGGGGAAUAUUGCACAAUGGGCGAAAGCCUGAUGCAGCAACGCCGCGUGAGCGAUGAAGGCAUUCGGGUCGUAAAGCUCUGUCAUCAAGGAAGAUAAUGACGGUACUUGAGGAGGAAGCCCCGGCUAACUACGUG
rnacentral:rRNA from 1 species